ensembl:lncRNA
GUCCUGACUACCCUGAGGCAGCUCUGUGGUGGCAUAUGACAGAUUAGGGGUCCUGACUACCCUGAGGUAGCUCAUUGGUGGCAUAUGACAGCCAUUAGGGGUCCUGACUACCCUGAGGCAGCUCUGUGGUGGCAUAUGACAGAUUAGGGGUCCUGACUACCCUGAGGUAGCUCAUUGGUGGCAUAUGACAGCCAUUAGGGGUCCAGACUACCCUGAGGCAGCUCUGUGGUGGCAUAUGACAGAUUAGGGGUCCUGACUACCCUGAGGCAGCUCUGUGGUGGCAUAUGACAGCCAUUUGGGGUCCAGACUACCCUGAGGCAGCUCUGUGGUGGCGUAUGACAGCCAUUAGGGGUCCAGACUACCCUGAGGCAGCUCAUUGGUGGCAUAUGACAGAUUAGGGGUCCUGACUACCCUGAGGCAGCUCUGUGGUGGCAUAUGACGGCCAUUAGGGGUCCUGACUACCCUGAGGC